rnacentral:rRNA from 1 species
CCAGACUCCUACGGGAGGCAGCAGUAGGGAAUCUUCGGCAAUGGACGAAAGUCUGACCGAGCAACGCCGCGUGAGUGAAGAAGGUUUUCGGAUCGUAAGACUCUGUUGGUAGAGAAGAACGUUGGUGAGAGUGGAAAGCUCAUCAAGUGACGGUAACUACCCAGAAAGGGACGGCUAACUACGUGCCAGCAGCCGCGGUAAUACGUAGGUCCCGAGCGUUGUCCGGAUUUAUUGGGCGUAAAGCGAGCGCAGGUGGUUUAUUAAGUCUGGUGUAAAAGGCAGUGGCUCAACCAUUGUAUGCAUUGGAAACUGGUAGACUUGAGUGCAGGAGAGGAGAGUGGAAUUCCAUGUGUAGCGGUGAAGUGCGUAGAUAUAUGGAGGAACACCGGUGGCGAAAGCGGCUCUCUGGCCUGUAACUGACACUGAGGCUCGAAAGCGUGGGGAGCAAACAGGAUUAGAUACCCUGGUGGUCCACGCCGUAAACGAUGAGUGCUAGAUGUAGGGAGCUAUAAGUUCUCUGUAUCGCAGCUAACGCAAUAAGCACUCCGCCUGGGGAGUACGACCGCAAGGUUGAAACUCAAAGGAAUUGACGGGGGCCC